rnacentral:rRNA from 1 species
ACAGAGGGUGCGAGCGUUAAUCGGAAUUACUGGGCGUAAAGCGCACGUAGGUGGAUAUUUAAGUCGGAAGUGAAAGCCCUGGGCUUAACCUGGGAAUUGCCUCCGAUACUGGAUAUCUUGAAUAUGGUAGAGGGUAGUGGAAUUUCCGGUGUAGCGGUGAAAUGCGUAGAUAUCGGAAGGAACACCAGUGGCGAAAGCGGCUACCUGGACCAAUAUUGACACUUAGGUGCGAAAGCGUGGGGAGCAAACAGG